rnacentral:rRNA from 1 species
CCUACGGUCACAGCAGUGGGGAAUAUUGGACAAUGGGCGAAAGCCUGAUCCAGCCAUGCCGCGUGUGUGAAGAAGGCCUUCGGGUUGUAAAGCACUUUCAGUGGGGAAGAAAGCCUUGGGGCUAAUACCCUCGAGGAAGGACAUCACCCACAGAAGAAGCACCGGCUAACUCCGUGCCAGCAGCCGCGGUAAUACGGAGGGUGCGAGCGUUAAUCGGAAUUACUGGGCGUAAAGCGCGCGUAGGCGGUCUGAUAAGCCGGUUGUGAAAGCCCCGGGCUCAACCUGGGAACGGCAUCCGGAACUGUCAGGCUAGAGUGCAGGAGAGGAAGGUAGAAUUCCCGGUGUAGCGGUGAAAUGCGUAGAGAUCGGGAGGAAUACCAGUGGCGAAGGCGGCCUUCUGGACUGACACUGACGCUGAGGUGCGAAAGCGUGGGUAGCAAACAGGAUUAGAUACCCUUGUAGUC